AGGGUUGUGGCUCAGUGGUGGAGCACCUGCUUUGCAUCCAGAAGGUCGCAGGUUCAAUUCCUGGCAUCUCUA